rnacentral:rRNA from 1 species
AAACGUAGGUGGCAAGCGUUGUCCGGAAUUACUGGGUGUAAAGGGAGCGCAGGCGGGGUGCCAAGUUGGGCGUGAAAUCUAUAGGCUCAACCCAUAGCGUGCGUUCAAAACUGGCGCUCUUGAGUGAUGGAGAGGCAGGCGGAAUUUCCGGUGUAGCGGUGGAAUGAGUAGAUAUCGGGAGGAACACCAGUGGGGAAGGCGGCCUGCUGGACAUUAACUGACGCUGAGGCUCGAAAGUGUGGGGAGCAAACAGGAUUAGAUACCCUGGUAGUCCACACCGUAAACGAUGAUUACUAGGUGUGGGGGGAUAGACCCCCUCCGUGCCGCAGCUAACGCAAUAAGUAAUCCACCUGGGGAGUACGGCCGCAAGGCUGAAACUCAAAUGAAUUGGCGGGG